UCUGCGCGCUGGGGCGCCGGUGGCAAAGGUGCCUCGGCUUUACGCAGACCCGGGGGGCCCGGGCUGGGAGGCGGGCUGCCCGGGACAAACGGGCGAGAGCACGGGAGACCCCGACCCACCUCCCAGGCGGCCGGGAGGGGCGGGUCAGGGUGAUCCGUGCCCCCGUCCCUAUUCCCCAGCGCCCCACCCACACCCCUACAACUGCUGGCCCUUUGUCCCAGGCUCUGGAAAAACCUACCAAAUAUGUGAACAACAAUAACGACUGCCUCAUUGUGAGUUCGGUCCAUUGGGUUGGAAGUUAGGUAACAAGAACUCCAGACUGACAGUCAUCAGUGGGAGAGUUUCCUUGGUUAGGAUUUGAAGCUCUGAAAAUCUCAACACAUCUUUUCCAUGUCACUGGACGAGUGCCACCUGGUCGUUUUAUAGAAGAGCCAUUGCUUACCCACACGGAUGAGAGCAGGGAGAAAGGGGGCUGCUCAGCUGAAAGACCCUGACUCACAAUUUACAGUGGAUUUAAAAUCUCUGACUUAAUGUUGCAUUAA